rnacentral:rRNA from 1 species
CGCAUGCUUAACACAUGCAAGUCGAACGGUGAAGCAGAGCUUGCUCUGUGGAUCAGUGGCGAACGGGUGAGUAACACGUGAGCAAUCUGCCCCUGACUCUGGGAUAAGCGCUGGAAACGGCGUCUAAUACCGGAUACGAGCUGCGACCGCAUGGUCAGUAGCUGGAAAGAAUUUCGGUCAGGGAUGAGCUCGCGGCCUAUCAGCUUGUUGGUGAGGUAAUGGCUCACCAAGGCGUCGACGGGUAGCCGGCCUGAGAGGGUGACCGGCCACACUGGGACUGAGACACGGCCCAGACUCCUACGGGAGGCAGCAGUGGGGAAUAUUGCACAAUGGGCGAAAGCCUGAUGCAGCAACGCCGCGUGAGGGAUGACGGCCUUCGGGUUGUAAACCUCUUUUAGCAGGGAAGAAGCGAAAGUGACGGUACCUGCAAAAAAAGCGCCGGCUAACUACGUGCCAGCAGCCGCGGUAAUACGUAGGGCGCAAGCGUUAUCCGGAAUUAUUGGGCGUAAAGAGCUCGUAGGCGGUCUGUCGCGUCUGCUGUGAAAACCCGAGGCUCAACCUCGGGCCUGCAGUGGGUACGGGCAGACUAGAGUGCGGUAGGGGAGAUUGGAAUUCCUGGUGUAGCGGUGGAAUGCGCAGAUAUCAGGAGGAACACCGAUGGCGAAGGCAGAUCUCUGGGCCGUAACUGACGCUGAGGAGCGAAAGGGUGGGGAGCAAACAGGCUUAGAUACCCUGGUAGUCCACCCCGUAAACGUUGGGAACUAGUUGUGGGGUCCAUUCCACGGAUUCCGUGACGCAGCUAACGCAUUAAGUUCCCCGCCUGGGGAGUACGGCCGCAAGGCUAAAACUCAAAGGAAUUGACGGGGACCCGCACAGCGGCGGAGCAUGCGGAUUAAUCGAUGCACGCGAAGACCUUACCAAGGCUUGACAUAUAGAGAAACGUCUGGAAACAGUCGCCCCGCAAGUCUCUAUACAGGUGGUGCAUGGUUGUCGUCAGCUCG